rnacentral:rRNA from 1 species
GUAUGGGGAUCUGCCCGAUAGAGGGAGAUAACUACUGGAAACGGUGGCUAAUACCGCAUAAUGUCUACGGACCAAAGCAGGGGCUCUUCGGACCUUGCACUAUCGGAUGAACCCAUAUGGGAUUAGCUAGUAGGUGGGGUAAAGGCUCACCUAGGCGACGAUCUCUAGCUGGUCUGAGAGGAUGAUCAGCCACACUGGGACUGAGACACGGCCCAG